UACGGGGGGUGCGAGCGUUGUCCGGAAUCACUGGGCGUAAAGGGCGCGUAGGUGGUUUGAUAAGGGUGUGGUGAAAGUCCGGAGCUCAACUCCGGAUCUGCCGUGCCGACUGUCAAACUCGAGGGCUGUAGAGGCAGACGGAAUUCCGGGUGUAGCGGUGGAAUGCGUAGAGAUCCGGAAGAACACCGGUGGCGAAGGCGGUCUGCUGGGCAGUUGCUGACACUGAGGCGCGACAGCGUGGGGAGCAAACAGG
rnacentral:rRNA from 1 species